rnacentral:lncRNA from 1 species
UCGCUUAGCAGUUGGGUUGGGGGGGACGGCGCAGAGACUGAGGGGCCGCGACCCCCUCCGUUACCACGGAGUGCCCCGCAGCGCUGGGGGCCGGGGCUGAAGGCCGCAGCGGGGCUUAGGGGGGCUCAGGGCCUUCGGGAGGGGCCGUUCGGCACAGAGCGCGGCCCCCUCCGGGCUGAGAGCGUUAUGCCUGGGAGAAAGGCAGAAAAAAU